GACGAACGCUGGCGGCGUGCUUAACACAUGCAAGUCGAACGGAAAGGCCCCCAUCUUGGUGGGGGUGCUCGAGUGGCGAACGGGUGAGUAACACGUGGGUGAUCUGCCCUGUACUUCGGGAUAAGCUUGGGAAACUGGGUCUAAUACCGGAUAGGACCAUGGUUUAGUGUCUCAUGGUGGAAAGAUUAUUGUUUUGGUGCAGGAUGAGCUCGCGGCCUAUCAGCUUGUUGGUGGGGUAAUGGCCUACCAAGGCGUCGACGGGUAGCCGGCCUGAGAGGGUGGACGGCCACAUUGGGACUGAGAUACGGCCUAGACUCCUACGGGAGGCAGCAGUGGGGAAUAUUGCACAAUGGGCGCAAGCCUGAUGCAGCGACGCCGCGUGGGGGAUGACGGCCUUCGGGUUGUAAACUCCUUUCGUUAGGGACGAAGCCGCACUUUUUUUGGGUGUGGUGACGGUAUCUUUGUUAAGAAGCACCGGCUAACUACGUG
rnacentral:rRNA from 1 species